UUUAACCAGGACAUGCAAGAUGUUGUCCAUGUUUUGUUGUAUCCUGAUGGCAGAGAAGUGAGAAACAUCCCAGGAACAGAUGACCCUUUCACUGUCCAGAAGUACAAGGAGGCAAUAGGGAAGGCCUACCAGAGAAUAACACUCUACAUUUGCAGUGCAGAGGAUUUUGAAACCAGUUGUUAUACUGGACAGACUUCUAGUGAAGAUGACAAUGUUGUCCAUGUGAACUUGCUAUCCGGUCAAAGUGAUCUCUCCGACACUGUGGUCUGGGACAUUCCAGAUAACGUGAGCACCCCAAGAAUGAAGAACAUUUUGCAGGGGUAAAAUUUGCCUUUGUCAAGUGAUCAGCAGUGGAGCAGGGAAAUUCACGUGUUAUUUGUUAUUCCCAGACCCUUCAGCUGCCAACAACCAGAAUCUCAUAAAGAUGGACAGCAACCAACUGCCCAGGAUCAGUUAAAAUCUUCG